UACCAGCACCCCGAGUGGUCGGGACGAUUAUUGGGCCUAAAGCAUCCGUAGCCGGUUUUACAAGUCCCCCGUUAAAUCCAGCUGCUUAACAGAUGGGCUGCGGAGGAUACUAUAAGACUAGGAGGCAGGAGAGGCAAGCGGUACCCAGUGGGUAGGGGUAAAAUCCGUUGAUCCAUUGAAGACCACCAGUGGCGAAGGCGGCUUGCCAGAAUGCGCUCGACGGUGAGGGAUGAAAGCUGGGGGAGCAAACCGG
rnacentral:rRNA from 1 species